UGGACGAGGGGCCCCUCUCGGGUUACCGAAUUCAGACAAACUCCGAAUGCCAAUCAAUUUAACUUGGGAGUCAGAACAUGGGUGAUAAGGUCCGUGUUCGAAAGGGAAACAGCCCAGACCACCAGCUAAGGUCCCAAAAUAUAUGUUAAGUGGAAAAGGAUGUGGCGUUGCCCAGACAACUAGGAUGUUGGCUUAGAAGCAGCCAUC
rnacentral:rRNA from 1 species